rnacentral:rRNA from 1 species
CCUACGGGAGGCAGCAGUGGGGAAUAUUGUGCAAUGGACGCAAGUCUGACCCAGCAACGCCGCGUGAAGGAAGAAGGCUUUCGGGUUGUAAACUUCUUUUAAGGGGGAAGAGCAGAAGACGGUACCCCUUGAAUAAGCCACGGCUAACUACGUGCCAGCAGCCGCGGUAAUACGGAGGUGGUAAGCGUUGACCGGAUGUACUGGGUGAAAAGGGCGUGCAGCCGGAGAGAAAAGUCAGAUGUGAAAUCCACGGGCUCAACCCGUGAACUGCAUUUGAAACUGUUACCCUUUAGUGUCUGAGGGGUAAUCGGAAUUCCUUGUGUAGCGGUGAAAUGCGUAGAUAUAAGGAAGAACACCGGUGGCGAAGGCGGAUUACUGGACGAUAACUGACGGUGAGGCGCGAAAGCGUGGGGAGCAAACAGGAUUAGAUACCCUGGUAGUC